UCCACCACUAUAGCACUGCACAAGCUGGCUAGCGUUGCUCUAGAGCCCUCCCUCGGCUAUUUAAGCGUGCCCCGAGCCCUCCCGCAACUCACUCACUCCUUCCCCGCCUCUCUAUCCCACUGGAAUCGCCUCACCUCGCCUCUGUUCGCCAUGGCCGCUUCGGUCUCUCCUUGGUCCCGGUGUGCCUAGCCCCUCUGCUCUCCUCCCGAGCUGUCCACGAGCUUCCCCUCGUCCCCGCGGUUCGCCCCAACCCCUUGCCCCUCGCCGGUGCCGCGUGCUCCUCGUCCGGCUGCCGCGCGAUCCUUUCGGUUGCCUCCCCGUCUCGCCCAUCCCGACCCCCUCACUCCCUCUAGUCGCCACCACCAGCUUCCUCACCCUCCGGCGACUCUCCCCACGCUCUUCUCCUGCCACCGGAGCCACCAGGGCCGUCGUCCCCGCGUGCAAUGACCGGCGCCCGCCCCUCUGUUCCCCUCGAAGUUCCGCUUCUUCUCGUCCUCCCCGGCGUCCAGUUCCUCUCUAAACGGGUGCGGCACGCCACCCUGAAGCCUCCGGUGCUCUCGCCUUGGCCUGGAGUGGCCGGAGUCGGCGGGGCCAGCGCCGGCAGCGCCCCUGUCCUCCUCCCCUGCUUUCUGUCGUGGCCAGGCACGGGAGGAAGAAGAAGACAGGGGAAGGAGAGAGAAGGAUAAGGUGGGCCCCGCAAGUCAUCCUCUGGCCGUUGACCACCACUGCCACGUCAUGGAUUUGUUUGCUGAAGAAAUAUUCACAGAUUGGUCCUUCUUCUUCCACACCUCAUAACUCCGCAACCGUAAUUCCGAUUGAGCCCCUCCGAGAAAGAACUACCCGACGUUUCGUUCCGCGGCUUUACCGUACUUCUUCCCGGAGUCUCCGUCACCCCCAG